GUCUAUGGCCAUACCACCCUGAAUGCGCCUGAUCUUGUCUGAUCUCGAAAGCUAAGCAGGGUCGGGCCUGGUUAGUACUUGGAUGGUAGAAAGUAGGGCAAAAUGCCCCACAACUAAUUCAGAGUCAAGACU
rnacentral:rRNA from 1 species